rnacentral:rRNA from 1 species
AGAGUUUGAUCAUGGCUCAGGAUGAACGCUGGCGGCGUGCUUAACACAUGCAAGUCGAGCGAAAAUAAUUGAGAGCUUGCUUUUAAUUAUUUUAGCGGCGGACGGGUGAGUAACGUGUGGGUAACCUGCCUUUUACUGGGGAAUAAUCACUGGAAACGGUGACUAAUACCGCAUAAUAUUCUUAGGAGGCAUCUUCUGAGAAGGAAAGGAGAAAUUCGGUAAAAGAUGGGCCCGCAUCUGAUUAGCUAGUUGGUGAGAUAACAGCCCACCAAGGCGACGAUCAGUAGCCGACCUGAGAGGGUGACCGGCCACAUUGGGACUGAGACACGGCCCAAACUCCUACGGGAGGCAGCAGUGGGGAAUAUUGCACAAUGGGGGAAACCCUGAUGCAGCAACGCCGCGUGAAGGAAGACGGUUUUCGGAUUGUAAACUUCUAUCAAUAGGGAAGAAAGAAAUGACGGUACCUAAAUAAGAAGCCCCGGCUAACUACGUGCCAGCAGCCGCGGUAAUACGUAGGGGGCAAGCGUUAUCCGGAAUUACUGGGUGUAAAGGGAGAGUANGCGGCAAGGUAAGCGAUAUGUGAAAGCCUUAGGCUUAACCUGAGGAUUGCAUAACGAACUAUCUAGCUAGAGUACAGG